UCACAUUAAAUCUUUGUCUUUAUGAAACUCGUGUCUCCACAUGUGUCUGCAGCUUCACACGAGUCAUGGAAACUUUCUUGCUGUUUGUUGACGUGGCGAAGGAUCGAAGCUGCAGAGGCGUCUGUGUCUCUGUGCAGCUGCAGAUUUGACUUUUCUGUGAGACUCAGCGUGGACCUGUGGACCUCAGACUGAGAGUCCACACAGACUGUGUCUUUAGUUUUCAAUCAUUAACACGUUUCAUGGCCAGACUGUGCCAGUGGGUUAGAACUUUAUUCUUAGAUUAGAUUAGAUUCAACUUUAUUGUCGUUACACACGUAGAAGGACAAGCUAACGAAACGCAGUUUAGCAUCGAACCUGAAGAGCUGCAGGUGCAGUGUGUACAGUGUGUAUAACUCACAGAUAUAUACAAUCAGCAUGAUCUACAGAGGAGUGCUCUGUAGGCAACAGUUAAACAGGUAGUGAACACACUAUACAGGUGCAUUAAGCCUCUACAUGUAUGUACAGGUAAACAGGUAGUCUGUGGUACUUUACACAUGAAUUGUGCUGCUAAACACAUGUAUGUGAACAUAAUUUAGAAAUGAGUGGUUUCAGUGACAGAACAGUUCGGUGAUUCAAAGCGUAGGAAAGUUUCACCACACUGUCUCUGUCUGUCUCUGUCUCUGUCUGUCUCUGUUGAACUUUGACCUUUUUACUUCUGAUUUUCACACCUGUUAUAUUUGAUCAGUAAAUCAGAAUCUAUUGAUUGAACCAGGUGUUCUCAGGUAACCUGCUCAGUCUCAUCACAUGCUAAUUCUCAGAGCUGAUGAGAAACCUAAACAGGUUCAUAUCUCUCUCUCUCUCAGUCAUGUUAUCCUUGGUCGCCCGCUUGCUCCAUCUCAGGACCUCCAGUUGCCAAGGAAGCAGGCGCUCCAUGGCAACCAUCGUCUCCGGCAACAAGACGUCCAAGAUGGUGAGAGAGAGGCUGAGGAACGAGGUGGAGAAGAUGAAGAGUCAGUUCUCAGGAUUCAGACCCAGUCUGGUGGUCUUACAGGUGGGAGACAGAGACGACUCCAACCUGUACAUCAGCACCAAACUGAAGGCUGCGGCCGAGAUUGGAAUCGAUGCCAAACACGUGAGGCUGCCAAACACGGCGUCGCAGGAUGAGGUCCUGCAGAGCAUCAUGUCUGUCAAUGAGAACCUGUCCGUCCACGGUCUGAUCGUCCAGCUCCCUCUGGACUCUGUGAACCCCAUCAACACCGAACUCAUCACCAACGCUGUGUCUCCAGAGAAGGACGUGGACGGUCUGAGUUGUGUUAAUGCAGGGAAGCUGUCUCGCGGGGAUCUGAAGGACUGUUUCAUCCCCUGCACCCCCAACGGCUGCAUGGAGCUCAUCCGACAGACAGGCGUGUCGGUGGCGGGGAAACAUGCGGUCGUGAUUGGUCGCAGUAAAAUCGUGGGUGCUCCGAUGCACGACCUGCUGCUGUGGAACCACGCUACUGUGACCACCUGUCACUCAAAGACACCUGAUCUACCUGAACAGGUGAGCAGGGCUGACAUCCUGGUGGUGGGAGCAGGUAGAGCAGAGAUGGUGAGAGGAGAGUGGGUGAAGGACGGAGCGGUGGUCAUCGACUGUGGGAUCAACCACAUCCCAGAUGAGACGAAGGCGAGCGGGAAACGGGUGGUCGGAGACGUCCACUACACCUCAGCCAGUCAGAGAGCAGGAUUCAUCACACCUGUUCCAGGAGGGGUGGGGCCGAUGACGGUGGCCAUGCUCAUGGAGCUUCCUCUGAACCGACGUUUUGACUGCCGAGCGUUUUCAGGUUAAACAGUCGUUUCCUUCUCUGCUGAUACAAAGGUUCAGAUCCACAGAACACGGUUCAGAGCGCGCAGCGUUUCCUCCUGAAGAAUCAGACGAGGACGUGAAACACCAGGAAACACUCCAGGAUGUGGACAGGUGUGAGGAGGAUGUGAGCUGAGUGAUGGACGCACAGAGGACGUGAUUGGAGGACGUCCUCACUGUCCACAGAUUUAAAUGAAAUCCUGAACCAUGAUCUGGAUUUGUUUCACCUGCACAGACUCAACAGCUGAGACUCUUCUUCUUCUUCUUCUCCUUUCAUUUGUCUCCUGUCUUUUCAAAUGUUACCUCCACCAAGGAGGUCUGGCAUGUUUGUUUGUUUGUUUGUUUGUUUGUUUGUUUGUUUGUUUGUUUGUUUGUUUGUCUGCAGAAUCACACAAAAAGUAGUGAACUGAUUUGCACCAGACUUGGUGGAGGGAUGGGACGUGGACCAGGGGAGAACCCGUUAAAGGGACUGAAGCGUUGUGUGUCCGUGUUGGACCGUGUCCAUGUCCGUCCCUCAGACUAUUUUUACAACUAGUUCUAGUAGUUUGAGCUUCGUGUCGACUUCAGCAGGAUCCAGUCCUCGACCUUUAACCUCCACAGCUCUGUUUGCUGUGGGGUCAGAGGUCGUCGUCCUGGAAACAGAGACCUACCAGCUGUCUCCUGCUGAGGACUGAAGUCCACAUGAAUGGAUCAAACAUCCUGAAGAACUGAACCUGGUGCAGCUGAUGUGAACGGUGUAAAAUGUCUUUGAUCUGUUUCCUGCUGGAAAAAUUAAAUCAAGUUUGAUUUUUCAUUUGUGUUUUUUUCCUUGGACACUCGGACAAGGCUGAGCUGAACCAUGAGACAGUUCA